AGAGUUUGAUCAUGGCUCAGGAUGAACGCUGGCGGCGUGCCUAAUACAUGCAAGUCGAACGCUUUGUCUUUAAUUGAUCUGACGAGCUUGCUCUGAUGUGAUUUUAUCUGACAAAGAGUGGCGAACGGGUGAGUAACACGUGGGUAACCUACCUCUUAGCAGGGGAUAACACUUGGAAACAAGUGCUAAUACCGUAUAAUACCAACAACCGCAUGGUUGUUGGUUGAAAGAUGGUUCUGCUAUCACUAAGAGAUGGACCCGCGGUGCAUUAGCUAGUUGGUAAGGUAACGGCUUACCAAGGCAAUGAUGCAUAGCCGAGUUGAGAGACUGAUCGGCCACAAUGGGACUGAGACACGGCCCAUACUCCUACGGGAGGCAGCAGUAGGGAAUCUUCCACAAUGGGCGCAAGCCUGAUGGAGCAACGCCGCGUGUGUGAUGAAGGGUUUCGGCUCGUAAAACACUGUUAUAAGAGAAGAACGGCACUGAGAGUAACUGUUCAGUGUGUGACGGUAUCUUACCAGAAAGGAACGGCUAAAUACGUGCCAGCAGCCGCGGUAAUACGUAUGUUCCAAGCGUUAUCCGGAUUUAUUGGGCGUAAAGCGAGCGCAGACGGUUAUUUAAGUCUGAAGUGAAAGCCCUCAGCUCAACUGAGGAAUGGCUUUGGAAACUGGAUGACUUGAGUGCAGUAGAGGAAAGUGGAACUCCAUGUGUAGCGGUGAAAUGCGUAGAUAUAUGGAAGAACACCAGUGGCGAAGGCGGCUUUCUGGACUGUAACUGACGUUGAGGCUCGAAAGUGUGGGUAGCAAACAGGAUUAGAUACCCUGGUAGUCCACACCGUAAACGAUGAGUGCUAGAUGUUCGAGGGUUUCCGCCCUUGAGUGUCGCAGCU
rnacentral:rRNA from 1 species